rnacentral:misc_RNA from 1 species
GAUGAAGAACGUAGCAAAAUGCGAUAAGUAAUGUGAAUUGCAGAAUUCAGUGAAUCAUCGAAUCUUUGAACGCACAUUGAGCCCGCCAGUAUUCUGGCGGGCAUGCCUGUUCGAGCGUCAUUUCAACCCUCAAGCCCUCGGGUUUGGUGUUGGGGAUCGGCGAGCCUUUCUGGCAAGCCGGCCCCGAAAUCUAGUGGCGGUCUCGCUGCAGCCUCCAUUGCGUAGUAGUAAAACCCUCGCAACUGGAACGCGGCGCGGCCAAGCCGUUAAACCCCCAACUUCUGAAUGUUGACCUCGGAUCAGGUAGGAAUACCCGCUGAACUUAAGCAUAUCAAUAAGCGGAGGA